rnacentral:rRNA from 1 species
AUGAAUUGCUUGGCCUGGAACUGUCGAGGACUGGGGUUGGACUCGACAGUUGGCGAACUCCGGGUCCUUAUACGGUCAUACAACCCAGCGGUGGUUUUUUUAUCAGAGACUAAGAAGAGUGCACAGGCUAUGGAGAGACUCAAAUGGAGGCUUGGGUUUCGAAGUGGGGUGGCAGUGGACUGUAAGGGGAAGAGUGGGGGGCUUGCCCUCUGGUGGAGAGAACACCUGAAGGUCUCUGUUAGGCCUUGGAGCCAUUAUUUUAUUGAUGCGGAGAUUAGCUCAGAGGGGCACACCUGGAGGUUCACUGGAAUCUACGGGGAGCCAAGAACGGAGUUGAGGAUGAAAACUUGGGAUGCUAUCCGCUAUCUUCGAGCUCAAGAUGAAUUACCAUGGCUGUGUGUUGGGGACUACAACGAAAUCUUGAUCAGAUCCGAAUAG